rnacentral:lncRNA from 13 species
UCUUUUCUGUGUUUUUCUUGUGAUAGUGAAUAAGUCUCACGAGAUCUGAUGGUUUUAUACAUGGGAGUUCCCCUGCACAGGCUCUCUUGCCUGCCUCCAAGUAAGAUACACCUUCGCUCCUCUUUCACCUUCUGCCAUGAUUGUGAUGCCUCCCCAGCCAUAUGUAACUAGAGAGUCUCACUCUGUUUCCAGGCUGGAGUGUAGUGGUGCGAUCUCACCUCACUGCAACCUCUGAUUCCCUGGUUUAAGCGAUUCUCCUGCCUUAGUCUCCCGA